GUAAAAGGGUGGGCCACUGACACAAAUCACAAAUCACAAUCUGCAAGAACUGCAGAAAGGGGCAAACAUACACAAAACUGGGGCAUGUCUGUGUCUCCCAGUCCCUUAGUGUCUGAGUCCCCAUGUCUCCCAGUGUUCCCAUGUCACUAGGACACUACGGGACAUUGAGAGACAUUGGGACACUGGGAGACAUGGGGACACUGGG